GAUGAACGCUGGCGGCGUGCCUAACACAUGCAAGUCGAACGGACAUUUUUGGAAAGUUCUUCGGAACUGGAAUCUAAAUGUUAGUGGCGGACGGGUGAGUAACGCGUGAGCAAUCUGCCUUUCAGAGGGGGACAACAGCUGGAAACGGCUGCUAAUACCGAAUACGUUCUUUUGUCGCAUGGCAGAGAGAAGAAAGGGAGGCUCUUCGGAGCUUUCGCUGAAGGAGGGGCUUGCGUCUGAUUAGCUAGUUGGAGGGGUAACGGCCCACCAAGGCGACGAUCAGUAGCCGGUCUGAGAGGAUGAACGGCCACAUUGGGACUGAGACACGGCCCAG
rnacentral:rRNA from 1 species